rnacentral:misc_RNA from 1 species
GAAUAAUCAAGACAAACUUGAAAACCAAGUAGGAUCGAGUUUUGUAUCUUAAAUCUGCAAAAGAAUACAACUAUUUUUCCGAAUCAGCCAAUCAUAAAAAUAGCAAGAAAAUCAUUGCUACUAAAAAAAUUCAAGCUUUUUGCCAAUAGGUAACGGCAGGAAAUGGAUUGAUUUCCUCAUGUAAUAAGUAGAUUAUAACGCCAAAUUUGUGGGAGGGUAAGGCAGAAAGUUGGUUUGUUUCAUUCUUGAUAAGUAAGAAGGGUUUUGGGCUCUUUUCUGUGCUUGGUUUUCCCUGAUCAGAAGCUGCAAGACUCUUUGUCUAGGAAGCCUUGGAUUAAUAUUCUAACACUAUCUUUCGAACACAAAGAGAGUGGCCGGCCCUUUCAAAACUUUGUGUGUCUGCUUAAUUAGAAUAAACCUACAUAAAUAGAGUCCGUUGAAGCAGUAAUUUUCAAGAGAAACGAAAAUCAGCAGGCAUGACUGUGAGAUGAGUAGCUAACAAGUGGGAAGAGUUUCAUCUCUUUACACACAGCAAGAGGUUCAGUGAGUGCAGAAAGCUCAAACAAACGCAGAAAGGCAAGAAUCAAAGAAAAUAGCUUAGUAGCUAGGAGGAGAUCUGUAUCAGUGCAUAUGUAUAAAAACAAACGACUAUCAAUAAUUCACCAACCAUGUCUUUGUCUGUAGUAGCAAAAAAUUCACCAACCAUGUCUUUGUCGGUGAUAGCAAAUUGAAAUAAAUAUUACAUAUUACAUAUUAAAAUAAAAUAAAAUAAAGCAGGUUCAAAUUUAC